rnacentral:tRNA from 1 species
AGAGGUAUAGUGUAAUUGGCAACACAUCGGCCUUUGACGCCGUAUUUAUAGGUUCAAGUCCUGUUACCUCUGCCA